rnacentral:rRNA from 1 species
CGGGGGGGCAAGCGUUGUUCGGAAUUACUGGGCGUAAAGGGCUCGUAGGCGGCCAACUAAGUCAGACGUGAAAUCCCUCGGCUUAACCGGGGAACUGCGUCUGAUACUGGAUGGCUUGAGUUUGGGAGAGGGAUGCGGAAUUCCAGGUGUAGCGGUGAAAUGCGUAGAUAUCUGGAGGAACACCGGUGGCGAAGGCGGCAUCCUGGACCAACACUGACGCUGAGGAGCGAAAGCCAGGGGAGCAAACGGGAUUAGAUACCCCGGUAGUCCUGGCCCUAAACGAUGAAUGCUUGGUGUGACGGGUAUCGAUCCCUGUCGUGCCGAAGCUAACGCAUUAAGCAUUCCGCCUGGGGAGUACGGUCGCAAGGCUG